rnacentral:rRNA from 1 species
AAUACAUGACAGUCGAGCGAAUGAUGAGGAGCUUGCUCCUCUGAUUUAGCGGCGGACGGGUGAGAAACACGUGGGUAAUCUGCCUGUAAGACGGGGAUAACUCCGGGAAACCGGGGCUAAUACCGGAUAAUAAGAGAAGAAGCAUUUCUUCUUUUUGAAAGUCGGUUUCGGCUGACACUUACAGAUGAGCCCGCGGCGCAUUAGCUAGUUGGUGAGGUAACGGCUCACCAAGGCGACGAUGCGUAGCCGACCUGAGAGGGUGAUCGGCCACACUGGGACUGAGACACGGCCCAGACUCCUACGGGAGGCAGCAGUAGGGAAUCUUCGGCAAUGGGCGAAAGCCUGACCGAGCAACGCCGCGUGAGCGAUGAAGGCCUUCGGGUCGUAAAGCUCUGUUGUUAGAGAAGAACAAGUACGAGAGUAACUGCUCGUACCUUGACGGUACCUAACCAGAAAGCCACGGCUAACUACGUGCCAGCAGCCGCGGUAAUACGUAGGUGGCAAGCGUUAUCCGGAAUUAUUGGGCGUAAAGCGCGCGCAGGCGGUCUCUUAAGUCUGAUGUGAAAGCCCACGGCUCAACCGUGGAGGGUCAUUGGAAACUGGGAGACUUGAGUGCAGGAGAGAAAAGUGGAAUUCCACGUGUAGCGGUGAAAUGCGUAGAGAUGUGGAGGAACACCAGUGGCGAAGGCGGCUUUUUGGCCUGUAACUGACGCUGAGGCGCGAAAGCGUGGGGAGCAAACAGGAUUAGAUACCCUGGUAGUCCACGCCGUAAACGAUGAGUGCUAGGUGUUGGGGGGUUCCACCCUCAGUGCUGAAGUUAACACAUUAAGCACUCCGCCUGGGGAGUACGACCGCAAGGUUGAAACUCAAAGGAAUUGACGGGGGCCCGCACAAGCAGUGGAGCAUGUGGUUUAAUUCGAAGCAACGCGAAGAACCUUACCAGGUCUUGACAUCCUUUGACCACUCUAGAGAUAGAGCUUUCCCCUUCGGGGGACAAAGUGACAGGUGGUGCAUGGUGUCGUCAGCUCGGUC